UCGGGAAGCGCACGGCCGCAAAUCCGACGUCGCCGUCGUUGACGGCUUGGGAUUGCGGAGGUGC
ncrna:unclassified sequences S15-Halobacteria ribosomal protein leader